UACAGAGGGGGCAAGCGUUAUUCGGAAUUAUUGGGCGUAAAGGGCGCGUAGGCGGCUUGGCAAGUGGAUGGUGAAAUCCCUCGGCUUAACCGAGGAACUGCCGUCCAAACUGCUUCGCUUGAGACCGGGAGAGGUGAGUGGAAUUCCCAGUGUAGCGGUGAAAUGCGUAGAUAUUGGGAGGAACACCAGUGGCGAAGGCGGCUCACUGGACCGGUACUGACGCUGAUGCGCGAAAGCGUGGGGAGCGAACAGG
rnacentral:rRNA from 1 species